rnacentral:misc_RNA from 1 species
GAUGAAGAACGUAGCGAAAUGCGAUAAGUAGUGUGAAUUGCAGAAUUCAGUGAAUCAUCGAAUCUUUGAACGCACAUUGCGCCCUUUGGUAUUCCAAAGGGCAUGCCUGUUCGAGCGUCAUUUGUACCCUCAAGCUUUGCUUGGGGUUGGGCGUCUUGUCUCUAGCUUUGCUGGAGACUCGCCUUAAAGUAAUUGGCAGCCGGCCUACUGGUUUCGGAGCGCAGCACAAGUCGCACUCUCUAUCAGCAAAGGUCUAGCAUCCACUAAGCCUUUUUUUCAACUUUUGACCUCGGAUCAGGUAGGGAUACCCGCUGAACUUAAGCAUAUCAAUAAGCGGAGGA